rnacentral:rRNA from 1 species
CACUCAAGAGUAAACGGUGGAUGCCUCGACACAAGAAGCCGAAGAAGGACGUUGCAGGAUGCGAAAAGUCUCGGUGAGGUUCCAAGCAACCUUUGACCCGGGAAUGUCCGAAUGGGGAAACCCAUC